rnacentral:tRNA from 1 species
CUGUACUUUCCCUUCCUUUGCACGCGGUUGAGGAGACCGGUAGGCCUGGACGACUUUUGCUGAAUGAUGCCGGGAAAACUCCGUAGUGACUCCAGUUUGGAAUCAGACAUGGCCAUGGAAAAGUUGGAGACCCGGCGAAAGCAAAACGUGAAGGUGAUAUCGAGGGGCCUGGGGCAAGGCAGGACCGGGGGCCGGGCAACGAGAACAGCGGGGCCCGGCAGUACGGGAGACAUGCCGGGCUGAGAGCGUGUUGCACGCGGCGAGGACCGGCAUGUCCAGGUGCCGGGCCUGGGGCUGGGCAGGCGGGAGUCCAACAGUGGCCCUUUCUCUGACCAGUGGACGCAUUGUCCUCCGGACGGAGUCUGCUCUGUAGCUCCGACUUCUCUCAUCUUUUACGCGGCGGCAAGCCCAGGGAGCUUUGGCAGAGAGGCCGGAUUGAGCUGGAGAGAGGAUCACUGCCCCUCCGGGUCCCGGGGAAUUGGGAGUUCCGCACCCCAUGCACGAAGUUGAAGGUCCACUUUAGGCCCCACGUUGUGGGCUCAGACUUAACUCCAGGUGUGAGCGUGCGCGAAGGGAAUUAUAUAAAUAAGUCUGGAGACUGAAGCUUUAGACGAAGGAGAUCUUAAAUCCGUCCGCGCAGCACACGUGGACUGCAUAAACAGUGACAUUUUCCUUACUUGUUUUACUACAAUAAGGGAAGUACAGUUUGCUCCUCGGUAAGCAGCUCAGAAGAUGAGGUAAUCUAAUCUUAGUAUUUAUUGACAAGAUCGUCUGUGGAAAUGUAGAGAGAGAGUGCGAAGUGACCACCAUAUUUCUUACAUAGGCCGGCAGUGACUGUAGUUGAAAUAGCCCUGGUAGUCUUCUGAUUCUUGCCUGUUGCUUAAUAAGACUGAAGGGUAAGACUGAAGGUUGUGAUUUAACUUGUGACCGAGUCUGUUCUGAAAGUCAGUGGAAACAAGAUUGUUCCUGAAUUUGUGUUGUACACGCCUUGGAAUUUACUUUCUUUGCUGUUUCUGGGUCUGAUAGGUGGCUCUUAAAACAGCACUAUUUUGGCCUGGUAGGAAGCCCAGGGGACAUCAAAUUUGUUGUCCAGUGAGGAGGUAGUGGCUUUCAUUUACUCAUUCUGCAUCAGUAAGUGUGUUCAACUGUGGAAUGGAUGCUCCCUCAUCAAGAGAGACAUACAUAAGCAGGGCUGGGCAUGUGGCUCAAUGGUAAAGUACCCCAGAGUUCCAUCUCCAGUACCAAGAUCUACUUCAGAUCACUUAGGAAAAUUCUGAUUUAUGAUCUGGCCAAUAGGAAUUGCAUAGUUACUAGGAGAUACUCUUGACUUUUCAAGCUAAUAAAACUGUUUUUAUAUAUUUAUCUUCAUAUAGGUAAGAAGUGGUAUUAAAAAGCAUACUGGGCCUGGGGUUGUGGCCCAGAGGUAGAGCGCUAGCCUACCCUGCAUGAGGCACUGGGUUCGAGCCUCAGCACCACAUAAAAAUAAAAUGAAUAAAAUAAAGGUAUAAAAAAAUAAAUAAAGAUAUUGUGUUCACCUGUAACUAAAAAAUAUUUUUUAAAAAAGCAUACUGAUUUCUACCUUAUGACAAUAGGAAUAACAAAUGAUGAAAUGCCCCAAAAUUAUGUUCUUCAUAAUUGUGAUCUUAAAGUGAUCCAGAAUUGAUAUAUCAUAAUUGAAUGAUAUGUUAUAAAUGUCAUAAAUGAUGUUUUGUUUUGUAUAUGUGUUUUCUUUAUCAAUUUUUCAGAAAGAUAGAAAAGAGCAGCCAAAGUCUAAUAAGACUGAAGAAUGUGCAGAAGGAAAAGAAGAAACUCUUACCCCCAAAACCAAAAAAGUUAAAAACAAACCAGGGCCUUCUGAAGCUGAUACAAAUUCUCCUAAAUCCAAAAAGGCAAAAAAGCAAGAGGAGCCUACUCAAGAUGCCAUUAUUUCUCCUAAAACCAAAAGUGCAAAAAAGAAAAAGGAAAAGGAGCCUCUUGAAAAGGAAGUUGUCUCUCCUAAAACCAAAAAAGUAAUAAAAAAUGAGGAACCUUCUGAAGAAGAUGUGGAUGCUCCUAAACCCAAGAAAAUGAAGAAAGAGAAGGAAGUAAAUGGAGAUAUUGGAGAGAAAAGUCCCAAACUAAAGAACGGAUUCUCUCAUUCUGAACCUGACUCCAAUGAAGCUGCCAGUGAAGAAAGUAACAGUGAAAUAGAGCAGGUAAAGUUGCAUAGGUAGAAUGUGUCUUUCAAUGUUUCAGAAAUAGAUAAUGUUACACAUACAUAUCCUAUUUUUUAAUGUUAUUAUAUUUUUCAUAUAUUUAUUUAUUUAAUUUUAUGGGUUGCUGGGGAUUGAACCCAGUGCCUCACACAUGCUAGGCAAGCACUCUACCAUUGAGCUACAACCACAGCCCUACACAUGCUGUUUUGAUAGUAGAAGGAAAUUUUUUAUCUCAGCAAUCCUUGGAGGUAUCUUGAGUUGCAGGGUGAGACUUCAUCUUAAAAAUUACAGUGUUGAGGAUCCGGGAUAUAGCUCAUUUGGUAGAGGGCUUGCCUCACAUGCAGAAGGCCAUGGGUUCAAUCCCAGCACCACACACACAAAAAAAGUCUUAAAUAAAUCUUUUUGUUUAGGCCAUUAAGUAAUUUUGAGUUGAAUAAGAUUAAAUGUCCUUUUGGAACUCAGUUCUUUCAUCCUUCAGAAACUUAGUCAUGAAAGAAAAAUUGUGGGCUGGUCAUGUGGCUCAGUAGUAGAGUGUUUGUCUAACAUGCCCAAGGCCCUGGAUUUAAUCCCCAGCAUCACAGAAAAAUCCUAACAUGUUUUCUGUUUGCCAUAGGUUAUGAUCACAAUUGACAGUUUUUCCCCUAAUUAUAAGGUGAAAAAUUUUAGGAAAUGGAUAAAUUUAUCUGAGGAGGGGAGCUUCCUAGAAUUUUAGCAUUCAUUCAUUCAGUUAACACUGAAUACUUUUCAGAUACAGAGGCAACCUGUUGUUAAAUUUUGAUGUUUCCUUAUGGUACAAUGUAUUUAGGAUUGUACCUUAUGCAGUCUUGAAUCCUGCUCUUUCUACUUUAUAUAAGAAUUUUUCCUUAUUUUUAAAUAUUUAAUGUUUAAUGGCUACAUAACCUCUUGCAAAUGUUUAUAAAUUUAUUUAAUAUCUAUUUAUUUAUUUGUGGUGCUGAGGAUUGAACCCAAGGCCUCGCACACGCUAGGCAAACACUCUACCGCUGAGCUACAACCCCAAUCCCCUUAAAAAGUUGUUUUUGAAGAGAUUCUUUUGGUUCUUUCUCAGAAGAGUUCUGUAUUAACUUUUAUGUGAGUUAUGAUUUCUUUCUGUGGUCCUUGACAGGAAAUACCUGUGGAACAAAAAGAAGGCGCUUUCUCUAAUUUUCCCAUAUCUGAAGAGACUAUUAAGCUUCUCAAAGGUAAUAUUCUCGGAAAUAUUACAUAAUGUCAGAACAUAUUAUUCAGAAGCACUACAUUUUUGUUGGAUGAACCAGGGUGUGAUCUUAUUUUUGGACAAUAUAGGCAAUCAGAUAAUGAAGUAGACCAGUAUAUUCAUAGUAGGACUAUGACAUUGAUAGUCUUGGCUGCCUCUAAUAAGUGGUUAAAAUUUACCCUUUACUCAGAAGUAUAAUGGCUGAUACUGCUGAUUAAUGCCAUGUUCAGUUUUCCUUUUCAUCUUCUGCUUGAGUACCAGAUUGAUUCAGAAUUUAUCUUAACAUUCUGCCUAUGAAUUGCUGGGUAGUCUUAGAUGCUCCACAAAGUGUUUUCUGAAUCAGUUGCAGCACAGUCUGGAUUGCAAAGUGUUUGAUUUUUUUCAGGCUCACAAGAUUGUCUGACAAGUGACUUGCUCUCUUAAUAUAUUAAAUAUUUAUUAUAAUUUGAUGUGUUAAAAGUUUGCAAAUAUUUUCCAGAUUCUUCAUUAUCAGAAUAUAUUUGAGCCUGACUUUGUAGUUGUUGACCAAAAGGCAAAAUUCAUUAAUUCUGUAGGACUAGAAAUAUUCAUUAUGUUUCAGUCUUUGGUUAUCCUGGUAUUUUAAGAAUUAUAGUGUCAGCAUUAGAAGUAUAGCUCAGUAGCAGACUGCAUGUUUAGAGGGCAAAAGGCCCUGGAUUUAAACCCCACCCUGCCAAAAAAAAAAAAAAAAAGCCUUGUUGGCUAAUGUGAUUUGUUUGUUCAUAGCCCGUGGAGUGACCUUCCUGUUUCCUAUACAAGCAAAGACGUUUCACCAUGUCUAUAGUGGGAAGGACUUAAUUGCACAGGCGCGGACAGGAACUGGGAAGACAUUCUCCUUUGCCAUCCCUCUGAUUGAGAAACUUCAGAGUGAGCUGCAAGAUAGGAAAAGAGGCCGUCCCCCGCAGGUAACUCUUAAGUGGACCUCAGGCUCCAAGACAGCGCAGGACGAAUCUCUCUGGGCAUGGUUUACAUAUCCAACUAUUUUUAUUGGAUUCGCCUUAAAGCCAACCAUUGUGUUUACUAUUAAUCUUUAUCUGAAGGUAAAUCAGGCUGAUUCUUUUUAAGACUAUGUUCAUAAACCCUUUAUAUUUAAGAUUUAUACUCUGUUCCAUGAUUGUGAUCACCAGUAACAUUAAUGUUCAUUAUAAUCCUUUUACUUAUUUAUUUAUUUAAAAAAAUUUUUUUUUUUUGGUUAUACGUGGCACAGUAUCUUUAUUUUGUUUUUUAUUUUAAUGUGGUGCUGAAGAUCGAACCCAGUGCCUCACAUAUGCGAGGCAAGCGCUCUGUCACUGAGCCACAACCCCAGCCCAUCAUCAUACUCCUUUUAAACUAUAGAUUGUGCCUGGAGUUCACACAUUUGGUUAAGUGUCUUUGACAUCAGACGGAUAAAGUAUUUUUAGUAGAACUUCACUACAGGUUCUUCUGUGCCAGACUGGUUGAGUUUAAAUAAUCUAGAUUCUGCCUCUAACUACACUUUUGGUUUCAGUUAAGUAAUUUAUACUCUAGUGUCUACCUCAAAAGGCUAUUAUGAGAAUGAGAUCAGAAUAACGUAAAGUAUUUGAUAGAGCAUAAGUCACAGGAAAAGCAAAAGUAUCAGCUAAUGGUAUCAUCAUCAUCAUCCUUAGUAUAGCUUCUUCUUCAUAUCAUUAUUUUCCUGGAUUGCUGUUUUAUGAAACUUCCUACAGAUCUUUCCUGGAGCAUUUGGAUAUCCACUUCUUUUUUUAUUUAUUUUUGGUACAAGAGAUUGACCCAGGGGCACUUAAUCACUGAGUCAUAGCCCUAGCCCUUAUUAUUUUUUAUUUUGAGACAGAGUCUCAUGAAGUUGCUUAGGGCUUUGCUAAGUUUCUGAGGCUGGCUCUGAAACUUGCGAUUCUCCUGCUUCAGUAUCCUGAGUUGCUGGGAUUACAGGUGGGCGUCAUCACACCCAGCUUCUAUUUUUCUUCUGACUGGUGAUCACAAACUUUGAAGUAUAUUUGUCUGGAACCUUAGUUAUAAUUUUUUUUUUUUUGGUACCAGGGGCAUUCAACCACUAAACCACUUCCAAACCUUUUUUGUGUUUUAGAGACAGGGUCUCACUGAGUUGCUUAAGGCCUCACUAAAUUGCUGGGGCUGGCAUUGAACUCAUGGUCCUCCUGUCUUUUUUUUUUUUUUAAUAUUUAUUUGUAGAUGAACACACAGUAUCUUUAUUUAUUUUUAUGUGGUGCUGAGGAUCGAACCUAGUGCCUCCACAUGCUAGACAAGCACUUUACCACUGAGCUACAGCCCUAGCCCUGAUCCUCCUGUCUUUCCCUCCCAAGCUGUUGGGAUUAUAGGCGUGUGCCACCACAUCUAGCUCCAUAGUUAGAAUUUUUAUAAUAUAUUGGAAAGCACAUAAUAAAUGUUUUUAAAAUAUCUCAAAAAUUCAAUAGUAAGUUGACCUUUCAGUUGGAUUCCCAAGUGAUAAACAAAUAAUACACAUUACUUUGAAAUCAAUGAGGUCUUUUUCUUUCAGGUUCUGGUUCUUGCACC